GAUGAACGCUGGCGGCGUGCCUAAUACAUGCAAGUCGAGCGAACGGACGAGAAGCUUGCUUCUCUGAUGUUAGCGGCGGACGGGUGAGUAACACGUGGAUAACCUACCUAUAAGACUGGGAUAACUUCGGGAAACCGGAGCUAAUACCGGAUAAUAUUUUGAACCGCAUGGUUCAAAAGUAUAAGACGGUCUUGCUGUCACUUAUAGAUGGAUCCGCGCUGCAUUAGCUAGUUGGUAAGGUAACGGCUUACCAAGGCAACGAUGCAUAGCCGACCUGAGAGGGUGAUCGGCCACACUGGAACUGAGGCACGGUCCAGACUCCUACGGGAGGCAGCAGUAGGGAAUCUUCCGCAAUGGGCGAAAGCCUGACGGAGCAACGCCGCGUGAGUGAUGAAGGUCUUCGGAUCGUAAAACUCUGUUAUUAGGGAAGAACAUAUGUGUAAGUAACUGUGCACAUCUUGACGGUACCUAAUCAGAAAGCCACGGCUAACUACGUG
rnacentral:rRNA from 1 species